GUGUGAAGAUGAUGAGGCAGCAGAGACAAUAACCAUAAAAGAGAAGUUGGAGAGAUGGAAGAUGCAAUGAAAUCUUUAGAGAACAAAAACCUUGGAUUUGAAAAGAAAAAUGGACAUCAUUACUACACUGGAUGGGAUGAAAUCUAUGAAGUUCUUUUUCUUGUAUUUCAUGGACUUAAUCGGCAGACAAGGUACCCCCACAUGGUACUACUCUUUCUUAUCAAUUUUCAGCUUCAAUCUUCUUGGGUUUAAUCCUUAUUCAAAUAUGUUAAAACUUUUAAGGUUUUUGUUUUAAUUGGUGGUAGUUGAGAAUUGAGUGAGGAUCU